AAUAGAUACUCCGGUAGUCCACGCCGUAAACGAUGAGUGCUAAGUGUUGGAGGGUUUCCGCCUUUCAGUGCUGCAGCUAACGCAUUAAGCACUCCGCCUGGGGAGUACGGUCGCAAGACUGAAACUCAAAGGAAUUGACGGGGGCCCGCACAAGCGGUGGAGCAUGUGGUUUAAUUCGAAGCAACGCGAAGAACCUUACCAGGUCUUGACAUCUCCUGACCGCCCUGGAGACAGGGUCUUCCCUUCGGGGACAGGAUGACAGGUGGUGCAUGGUUGUCGUCAGCUCGUGUCGUGAGAUGUUGGGUUAAGUCCCGCAACGAGCGCAACCCUUGGUUCUAGUUGCCAGCAUUCAGUUGGGCACUCUAGAGCGACUGCCGGCGACAAGUCGGAGGAAGGUGGGGAUGACGUCAAAUCAUCAUGCCCCUUAUGACCUGGGCUACACACGUGCUACAAUGGAUGGUACAAAGGGCAGCAAAGGCGGCGACGCAUGAGCGAACUCCCAGAAAACCAUUCUCAGUUCGGU
rnacentral:rRNA from 1 species